ACACCGGCAGCCCAAGUGGUGGCCAUUUUUAUUGGGCCUAAAGCGUUCGUAGCCGGCCUGAUAAGUCUCUGGUGAAAUCCCGCAGCUUAACUGUGGGAAUUGCAGGAGAUACUAUCAGGCUUGACGUCGGGAGAGGUUAGAGGUACUGCCAGGGUAGGGGUGAAAUCCUAUAAUCCUGGGAGGACCACCUGUGGCGAAGGCGUCUAACUGGAACGAACCUGACGGUGAGUAACGAAAGCCAGGGGCGCGAACCGGAUUAGAUACUCGGGUAGUCCUGGCUGUGAACGAUGUGGAGUUGGUGUUGGGAUGGCCUCGAGCUGCCCCAGUGCCGAAGGGAAGCUGUUAAGUCCACCGCCUGGGAAGUACGGUCGCAAGACUGAA
rnacentral:rRNA from 1 species